CCUACGGGAGGCAGCAGUGGGGAAUAUUGGGCAAUGGGCGCAAGCCUGACCCAGCAACGCCGCGUGAAGGAAGAAGGCUUUCGGGUUGUAAACUUCUUUUCUCAGGGACGAAGCAAGUGACGGUACCUGAGGAAUAAGCCACGGCUAACUACGUGCCAGCAGCCGCGGUAAUACGUAGGUGGCAAGCGUUAUCCGGAUUUACUGGGUGUAAAGGGCGUGUAGGCGGGACUGCAAGUCAGAUGUGAAAACCACGGGCUCAACCUGUGGCCUGCAUUUGAAACUGUAGUUCUUGAGUGCUGGAGAGGCUGACGGAAUUCCUAGUGUAGCGGUGAAAUGCGUAGAUAUUAGGAGGAACACCAGUGGCGAAGGCGGUCUGCUGGACAGCAACUGACGCUGAGGCGCGAAAGCGUGGGGAGCAAACAGGAUUAGAUACCCCGGUAGUC
rnacentral:rRNA from 1 species